rnacentral:rRNA from 1 species
UACGAAGGGGGCUAGCGUUGUUCGGAAUCACUGGGCGUAAAGGGCGCGUAGGCGGCUUUGUAAGUCGGGGGGUGAAAGCCUGUGGCUCAACCACAGAAUUGCCUUCGAUACUGCGAGGCUUGAGACCGGAAGAGGUUAGUGGAACUGCGAGUGUAGAGGUGAAAUUCGUAGAUAUUCGCAAGAACACCAGUGGCGAAGGCGGCGAGCUGGCCUGUACCUGACGCUGAGGCGCGACAGCGUGGGGAGCAAACAGG